CCUACGGGAGGCAGCAGUGAGGAGUAUUGGUCAAUGGGAGAGAUCCUGAACCAGCCAAGCCGCGUGAGGGAAGACGGCCCUAUGGGUUGUAAACCUCUUUUGUCGGAGAGCAAAACCUGGGGCGAGUCCCGGCCUGCGUGUAUCCGAAGAAAAAGCAUCGGCUCACUCGGUGCCAGCAGACGCGGUAAUAAGCAGGAUUCGAGUGUUAUCGGGAUGUUUUGGGUUUUAAGGGUGCGUAGGCGGUCUGUUAAGUCUGCGGUAAAAGUGCGGUGCUUAAACCCGUCGAGCCGUUGAAACUGGCAGACUUGAGUUGGCGAGAAGUACGCGGAAUGCGCGGUGUAGCGGUGAAAUGCGUAGAUAUCGCGAAGAACUCCGAUUGCGAAGGCAGCGUACCGGCGCCAGACUGACGCUGAGGCACGAAAGCGUGGGGAUCGAACAGGAUUAGAUACCCCAGUAGUC
rnacentral:rRNA from 1 species